AGCCAUUGAUUGCUUAUUGCACCACAUGUGUUUUUCUUUGAAACAAACUUGCUUUGGCGGUGGGCCCAGCCUGCCGCCAGAGGUCUAAACUUACAACCAAUUUUUUAUCAACUUGUCACACCAGAUUAUUACUUAAUAGUCAAAACUUUCAACAACGGAUCUCUUGGUUCUCGCAUCGAUGAAAAACGCAGCGAAAUGCGAUACGUAAUAUGAAUUGCAAAUAUUCGUGAAUCAUCGAAUCUUUGAACGCACAUUGCGCCCUCUGGUAUUCCGGAGGGCAUGCCUGUUUGAGCGUCGUUUCUCCCUCAAACCGCUGGGUUUGGUGUUGAGCAAUACGACUUGGGUUUGCUUGAAAGACGGUAGUGGUAAGGCGGGAUCGCUUUGACAAUGGCUUAGGUCUAACCAAAAACAUUGCUUGCGGCGGUAACGUCUACCACGUAUAUCUUCAAACUUUGACCUCAAAUCAGGUAGGACUACCCGCUGAACUUAAGCAUAUCAAUAACCGGAGGAA
rnacentral:rRNA from 1 species